rnacentral:rRNA from 1 species
AAGGAAUAUUGGUCAAUGGACGAAAGUCUGAACCAGCCAUGCCGCGUGGAGGAUGAAGGUCCUCUGGAUUGUAAACUUCUUUUAUUUGGGAAGAAAUGUGAGAAUUCUUUUUCACUUGACGGUACCAGAUGAAUAAGCACCGGCUAACUCCGUGCCAGCAGCCGCGGUAAUACGGAGGGUGCAAGCGUUAUCCGGAUUCACUGGGUUUAAAGGGUGCGUAGGCGGGCAGGUAAGUCAGUGGUGAAAUCUUCGGGCUUAACUCGGAAACUGCCAUUGAUACUAUCUAUCUUGAAUAUUGUGGAGGUAAGCGGAAUAUGUCAUGUAGCGGUGAAAUGCUUAGAUAUGACAUAGAACACCCAUUGCGAAGGCAGCUUACUACGCAUAUAUUGACGCUGAGGCACGAAAGCGUGGGGAUCAAACA